GUUUGUACUCAGUGGUAGCGCAUCUGCUUUGUAUGCAGAAGGUCCCAAGUUCAAUCCCUGGCAUCUCCA